rnacentral:rRNA from 2 species
GACGUAGGGGGCCAGCGUUGCUCGGAAUUACUGGGUGUAAAGGGUUCGUAGGCGGUGCGGCAAGUUGGGAGUGAAAUCUCUGGGCUCAACCCAGAGGCUGCUUCCAAAACUGCUGUGCUUGAGUGUGGGAGAGGCGCGUGGAAUUGCAGGUGUAGCGGUGAAAUGCGUAGAUAUCUGCAGGAACACCCGUGGCGAAAGCGGCGCGCUGGACCACAACUGACGCUGAGGAACGAAAGCUAGGGGAGCAAACAGG